CAGCAGUGGGGAAUUUUGGACAAUGGGGGGAAACCCCGAUCCAGCCAUCCGGGCGUGUGCGAUGAAGGCCUUCGGCCAGUGCCACUUCUUGCAGGAAAGAAACGGCACGGGAUAAUACCCCGUGCAACUGACGGUACCUUGCAGAAUAAGCACCGGCUAACUACGUGCCAGCAGCCGCGGUAAUACGUAGGGUGCAAGCGUUAAUCGGAAUUACCGGGCGUAAAGCGUGCGCAGGCGGUUCGGAAAGAAAGAUGUAGAAAUCCCAGAGCUUAACUUUGGAACUGCAUUUAACUACCGAGCUAGAGGUAACAGAGGGAGGUGGAAUUCCGCGUGUAGCAGAAUGCGUAGAUAUGCGGAGGAACACCGAUGGCGAAGGUACCUGGGAUACACUGACGCUCAUGCACGAAAGCGUGGGGAGCAAACAGGAUUAGAUACCCUGGUAGUCCACGCUCCUAAACGAUUAACCGAUGUUAGCCUUCUAAACAGAAGUACAGCUAACGCGUGAAGUUGACCGCCUCGCUGGGGAGUACGGUCGUAAGAUUAAAACUAAAGGAAUUGAUUUUCGGACCCGCACGCGGUGGAUGAUGUGGAUUAAUUCGAUGCAACGCGAAAAACCUUACCUACCCUUGACAUGUCUGGAAUCCCGAAGAGAUUUGGGAGUGCUCGCAAGAGAACCGGAACACAGGUGCUGCAUGGCUGUCGUCAGCUCGUGUCGUGAGAUGUUGGGUUAAGUCCCGCAACGAGCGCAACCCUUGUCAUUAGUUGCUACGAAAGGGCACUCUAAUGAGACUGCCGGUGACAAACCGGAGGAAGGUGGGGAUGACGUCAAGUCUCAUGGCUCCCAGGUAGGGCUUCACACGUCAUACAAUGGUCGGGACAGAGGGUCGCCAACCCGCGAGGGGGAGCCAAUCCCAGAAACCCGAUCGUAGUCCGAAUCGCAGUCUGCAACUCGACUGCGUGAAGUCGGAAUCGCUAGUAAUCGCGGAUCAGCAUGUCGCGGUGAAUACGUUCCCGGGUCUUGUACACACCGUCCGUCACACCAUGGGAGUGGGUUUUACCAGAAGUAGUUAGCCUAACCGUAAGGAGGGCGAUUACCACGGUAGGAUCUUGCGACUGGGGUGAAGUCGUAAGGUAA
rnacentral:misc_RNA from 1 species